GAUGAAGAACGCAGCGAAAUGCGAAAAGUAAUGUGAAUUGCAGAAUUCAGUGAAUCAUCGAAUCUUUGAACGCACAUUGCGCCCGCUGGUACUCCGGCGGGCACGCCUGUCCGAGCGUCAUUUCAACCCUCAAGCCCUCCUUCGGGAUGGGCCUGGUGUUGGGGCUCGGCCGCCAUCUCCGGCGGCCGUCCCCUAAAUACAGUGGCGGUCACGUCGCGACUCCUUUGCGUAGUAGAAACACCUCGCUCCGGAUAGCAACGCGGUCCACGCCGUAAAACCCCCAAUUUUCAAUGGUUGACCUCGGAUCAGGUGGGAAUACCCGCUGAACUUAAGCAUAUCAAUAAGGGAGGA
rnacentral:misc_RNA from 1 species